UGCACUCGUUUCCAUAUUUCCAUGGUGUGAGUGUGCUUUUGCGUGUGUGUGUAGAUUUGCCUGCAAAAACCUUUUUGCUCUUUGUUUCAGGUCUGGCACGACUGCAGCCUUUCCUCCAAAACGGCAGUGACAAAAUGGCCGACAUGUCCCAAGAUGGACGAUAUCAACAAUCAGGUGACGCGCAGAAACUGACAGCAGCUAGCCUGCACUUUGCCAAAGUGUAUCGAGCCGCCGCCGCCGCCGUCUGGGCGCAGAAUACAAAUUCGUCUACAAUCGAAGGGUUUAGCCAUGUGGAAGAGCAAGCAGGAGGCUCCCUGGCAAUGCCCGUAUGAAUCAACUCUCCUCAUACUCGGUUGGAGCAAAUGACACCAACACGCUAGCAAGUAAGUCAUUUUAUGUAAAUGACGACGUUAAUGUCGACGACGUUUCUUCCGCGCCUGCCAAGAACGGUCCACGGUCU